UACGUAGGGACCGAGCGUUGUCCGGAUUCAUUGGGCGUAAAGAGCUCGUAGGCGGCCACUCAAGUCGAAUGUGAAACCUCGAGGCUUAACCUCGAGCCUGCAUUCGAUACUGGGCGGCUAGAGUCUGGUAGGGGGAUCUGGAAUUCCAGGUGUAGCGGUGAAAUGCGUAGAUAUCUGGAGGAAUACCGGUGGCGAAGGCGGCAUCCUGGACCGGCAUUGACGCUGAGGCGCGAAAGCCAGGGGAGCAAACGGG
rnacentral:rRNA from 1 species